UGAUAAUUAGUUUAAUACAAAAUAAGUGAUUUCGACUCAUUAGACUAUGGUUAAUUCCAUAAUUAUCAA
rnacentral:tRNA from 1 species